AAUAUUGCACAAUGGAGGGAACUCUGAUGCAGCAACGCCGCGUGAGUGAAGAAGGUUUUCGGAUCGUAAAACUCUGUCAUUGGGGAAAAAUAAAUGACAGUACCAAAUGAGUAAGCCCCUGCUAACUACGUCACGGCAGCCGCGGUAAUACGUAGGGGGCGAGCAUUGUCCGGAAUUACUGGGAGUAAUGGGUACGUAGGCGGCUAUAUAAGUCAGAGGUGAAAUACCAGGGCUUAACACUGGAAUUGCAUUUGAAACUGUGUAGCUUGAGUGCAGGAGAGGAAAGUGGAAUUCCUAGUGUAGCGGUGAAAUGCGUAGAGAUUAGGAGGAACAACAGUGGCGAAGGCGACUUUCUGGACUGUAACUGACGCUGAGGUACGAAAGCGUGGGUAGCGAACA
rnacentral:rRNA from 1 species